rnacentral:rRNA from 1 species
UACGUAGGGUGCGAGCGUUGUCCGGAAUUAUUGGGCGUAAAGAGCUCGUAGGCGGUGUGUCACGUCGGCCGUGAAAAACCUGCAGCUUAACUGUGGGCGUGCGGUCGAUACGGGCAUCACUGGAGUUCGGCAGGGGAGACUGGAAUUCCUGGUGUAGCGGUGAAAUGCGCAGAUAUCAGGAGGAACACCGGUGGCGAAGGCGGAUCUCUGGGCCUUACCUGACGCUGAGGCGCGAAAGCUAGGGGGAGCAAACAGGAUUAGAAAACCCCCGGUAGGUCCCA